GUGGGGAAUCUUCCGCAAUGGACGAAAGUCUGACGGAGCAACGCCGCGUGAGUGAAGAAGGUUUUCGGAUCGUAAAGCUCUUUCGUUAGGGGCGAACGUGCUCUUUGUGAAUAAUGAGGAGUAAUGACGGUACCUAAAUAAGAAGCCACGGCUAACUACGUGCCAGCAGCCGCGGUAAUACGUAGGUGGCAAGCGUUGUCCGGAAUUAUUGGGCGUAAAGCGCGCGCAGGCGGGAUAUCAAGUCUGUCUUAAAAGUGCGAGGCUCAACCUCGUGAGGGGACAGAAACUGGUAUUCUUGAGUGUUGGAGAGGAAAGUGGAAUUCCAAGUGUAGCGGUGAAAUGCGUAGAGAUUUGGAAGAACACCAGUGGCGAAGGCGACUUUCUGGACGAUGUCUGACGCUGAGGCGCGAAAGCUAGGGGAGCGAACGGGAUUAGAUACCCUGGUAGUCC
rnacentral:rRNA from 1 species